GGACCGCGUCAGAUAGCGAGCUGGGAUAAGGCACCGCCCAGGUGCGGAGCUGCAGCGCUGUGUGCGCAUCUCUGCUCUCCCCAUUCCCUCCCAUCCCGCCCCGGACAGCCGCCGAGGCUCAGCUGGAGCUGAAGGGCUUGCCCUUAGUGUGCACUCUUCCGGGACAGACCAUGGGGGAUUUUGGUGCCCUAUCCCUGGAGGUGCUCAAGGCCAGGCUGGAUGGGGCCCUGGGCAGCCUGAGCUUGUGGGGGGCAACCGGCCCACGGCAGGGGUUGGGGCUGGGUGAUAUUUAAGGUCUGUUCCAACCCAAGCUGUUCUGUGACUCUAUGACUCUUUUAAAACAGUUGCACUUACAAGGAGAAAGUUGAGCAAAGGUUUGAAUAAAUUACUUAGAGAAAAAGAGGAAGAGACAGCGGCCACGGAAGCUUUGACUUCCUGCCAACUGCACCAGCUUCAAGCAACUGUAAAAGGAUUAACAAAUUGGAAAGGCAAUAAUAAUAGUAAAAAAUAACAAUAAUUCAAAGAGGAUUUAUUAAAAUAAUUUUAUUGUCAUUUUAAUACAUUAUUGGAACCCGAAUGUUUACAUUUAAUUUUUAAAUCUCACAGCUAUUUAAAAUCUUUAGGGUUACUAGGAAAUCACUUUUCACAGCUCUGCUUCACAGAAAAGUGUGAAGAAGCCUAUCAAGUAGACCACCUGAGAUGUGUUUCUCAGCCCUUUGCUUCAGUGAACCAAGAGGUCAUUGAUUCACACAGCUUGGACAAGAGGUAAUGGCCUCAAGUCGUGCCAGGGCCCCUCAUCGUCUCGAUGGCCUUCCACUGGACUCCCUCCACGUUCUCAACUUCCAUUUUGAACUGAGAAGCUGAAAGAGAGCACAAUAUACCACAUGCCUCCUCACAAAUGCUGAGUGCCAGGGGAUGAUUACUGCCCUCAAUCUGCUGCACGUACACCUGAUGUUGCUCAGGAUAUGGCUUGCUUUACUUUUAAGGAGAGCUCAUGGUUGGCUCACAUUCAGCUUGCUGUUCAUGGAGCCCCCAGGUCCUUUCCAGCGUGGUUGUUUAUCAUCCAGCCUGUUCCCCCCCUGCACCAGUGCAUGGGAGUUUUCUGCUUUACGUGCAGAAUGUUAUACUUCUCUUCACUGAGCUUCCCAAGAUUUCUGUUGGCUCAGCCCAAAUUUCUCCAGGAGUCUCUGAUUUGAAGUUGUUCAAAACAGCAUGUCAACCCCUCUAUCUAAUUUAGCAUUGUCUUCAAUAUAGUGUGCUAGCUAACAGCAAAACAAAACAACAGUGUGAUUUUCACAGGACCUGCCUUGACAAACAACACUGAUUUUAGUCACAAAAUGGGAAUGUUGGUUCUUUAGUGAUUUCUGCAGAUAAUGUGAGAAAUUUUGGACCCAUGAAAAUCAGUGAGAGAGCUCAACUGACUUCUGUUGAAUCAUGAUUCACCCAAUAAAUUGGAUUGUACCGCUGCAA